CAACUCAUUUGAGAAAAAUCUCUCAAAUUGGUCUUAAAUGCUCAUAAAUUUUAUCUACUUUAUGAGAGAGGAUUGUUGUUUUAGAUUCAAGAAGAUUGGCGUUUGGAUUAAGGUUAGACGAGAAGGCCAUUUUCCAGAAGAAUCUGAGCGAAGUGCAUUCACUGAGGGCUAUAGAACUCAUUUCUUAGAAUUUUGCAUAAAAAAUUGAAGGUAAGAAAGUUAAUUAAUUUUAAACAACUUUGUAGAAGAAAGUUUUGUCAAAAUAGUUAUGGAUUGUAAGUUAUGGUUUUUUUCAAAGUUGAGUCAUGAUUCUAGAUGAAAAACAGUGUUAUGGGGAGUGGCCGAGUGACUUGCAUGUGUGGAUGAGAUGGCCGUAAACUUUUAUUAUAUAGGUUAUUUUGAGUCUUUUUAACGAACAUGACGAGGCCACCGCAUAGCCGAGCGGCAAGGGGAUGCGCUCAUACUGCACCCAUAACCUUGCGUUAGGAGGUUAGUGUGUAAGGUGUGUGAAGAGCAUAACGUGCACAAGGCACACGAUGGGCACACUGGGUAGGCAACAAGGACGUGUGUGACAUCCCCCACCCUUGAGGUUAGCACGUGCCGCACGAUUCACCUCAGCGAGGUUAGCACGCAGUAAGACCCCAAGCCAUGCGCGUGCGGCUAGCCCCAUCCACCAUGUCAGUGGGCACCCUUAGGCUGUUUUAAGUUGUGAUAUUUUUGGAAAAUUUUAGGAGAAAUUUUUAAUACUUUCAAGUUCAAAGGUUUAAAUAAGGAAUAAAUGUAAAUUUUCAUAUCAAAGAAGCUUAAGAGGAUUCUCACGACCAAGGCUCUAUUCAAGUGUUGUGAGUAGGGGUGUAAGAAUAUGGGUUGAACCCGAAUAACCCGAACUAACCAACCCAUAUUAUAAGGGUUGGGUUGGGUUAAAAAAAUGAUUUUUUUAGGUUGGGUUUGGUCUCGAGUUGGAGGGUUGAAAAAUCCAGUUCAACCCAACCUAACCCGAAUUAAUAUAAUAUAUUUAUACUAUUUAUUUAAUAAAAUAAAAUCUAAAAAUUAGGUCUUCCUCCCUCCUCAAUCUUCAUCCCCUCACGCCCCACUCACCUUUCUUCACUAUGUUUGAUUCUUCUCUUCCAUCUCACCUCAGUCUUCCGUCUUCUCCCUCUUCUAUCUCUCCCUCACAAUCACACCGCCCACCUCCGUAUUCGUUAAAAAGUAUAUAUAUAAAAAAAAAACACAACCCGACAACCCAACCCAACUCAACCCAUAUUUUACGAGUUGAGUUGGGUUGAAAACUAAAUUCGGGUUAUUCAGGUUGUCAAUCCAUAUAACCCGAAAAUAUGGGUUGGGUUGAAAAUGUCUCCCAACCCAACCCAAUUACACCCCUAGUUGUGAGUAACAAAUUGUUUUAAACGUUAUUUAUUAAACUUGGUUUCAAGCUACACAGGCAAUAGCUUGUGAGUAACAAAAUGUUUAAAUGCUAUUUACUAAACAUGAUUUCAAGCUUUGAAUGAUUUAUAAAGCAUGAUUUAUGAUAAAUGUUUAUGAAUUGAUGUUCAAGUUAUAUCAUGUUUGAAUGAUUUCAUGAUCAAGUUCAAGGAAAAUAUUUCAAUGUUUUCAAAUGUUUUCUCUAUGCCCACAUAUUUCAUGAGACCUCUUGUAUACAUUAUGGUUAACUUCAUACUGAUGAUAGCGUUGACGAACCUAUAGUUUAUGGGCCAUUAGGAGGGGUAUAUUUUUAUGCCUUAAAGGAAGGGGAUAGCUUCCCAACGACUGUUCCGUCUUCGGACGAAGGGGUAAAUAUUGCCCGUGGCUAUGGAACAUUGUCUUACAAAAGUUAUGCAAAUGAUUCAAGUUUCAUGUUAUGUAAUGAUUUUUUAUUGACAAAUGUAUUUAAGUUUCAAUUUUAUAUUAAACUGUUUAUGAAAUUUUUUUUUCUAAAUUCGUUGCUCACUAAGUUUUUCAACUUACUCUUUCAAAAUAUUUUCCCACUUUCUAGCUACAAACUAUGAAAUCUCCAAGUGCUGAACUUACUGUUGUCAAGUCAACUUAGUUUUUAAUCAUAAAACAAAUUAUUUUACUUAAAGUAUUACUCUAUUUACCGAAAAGUUUAUACUCUCGUGUUUUAUAUAUUUUGGUAUUUAUAAAAGGCAAUUUAGAUGGGUUACACUACGGUUUCAAAGUAUUUUUAAGUUGAAAAAAUUUUGUUAGCAAUUUUUUUAAUGUUUCAUGUAUUCAUGUCAAGGGUCGAUUGAAGUUAACUUCAGAGGUGAAUGGCUUCAACUGACAUCACACCACAUAUUGGGAUGAGUAAGCAAGUGCUAUGGGUGGGGUGUGACAGUUUAUUAGAUUCAAGACUAUAAUAUUCAAUUUUACUAAUAAGUCCUUGAUAACUACUUUAUUGAUUAAAUAUGAUUUUAAAUUACAAACUUCGAGUUUUAUGACAUAAAAUCCAGAAUAAAAUAUAGCAAAAAAUUGAAACUAUUUAUAAAAUAUAGCCAAAUUUUAAAUGAGAUAGAUUUUUCUAUAUUUUGUAAAUAGUUUUAUUUUUGAAAAAUUAUAUCAAAUGACAAAAACAUUUAGAAAAAAAAUAGCCUAUGACACCUAUUUUUUACAUAUUGCGAACAUGAAAAAUAUGAUAAGUGAUUAGUGAUAUUAGACCGCUAUCAAACAACUAUUAGAGGACUAUUGAAGAGUUAUUAGAGAAUUAUCGACGUUUAACUUUGCUACUUUUGCAAUUUAUAAAAUGUAGUGACAUUGGCUCUAUUAUCAUAAUUUUUUUUGCUAUUUUUACAAGUGUCCCUUGAUUUUUUAUUUUUUUAUUAUUAGUUUUUUUCUUUUUGCUAUCCAUAAGAACUCCUCUAAAAUAAAUAAUAAAAUAUGAAAAUAAAGAAAUUGUUCGAAAAUCAUCCACUUUCUCAAAAAUUUAUUAAUUAUAUGUAUCUCGCCAACGUGAGUUCAACUCAAUUGGCAUCUGUAUGUUUUCGAGGACAAGAGAUCUCGUAUUCAAUACUCCCUACCCCAAGUUGUACUUAAUAAGACGUCUUCAAAAAUAAAAUUAUGUGUAUCUCGAACAAAAUCUAUCAAAUAUCAUUAUUUAUAGAUAAUUUAGCAGGCAUGAGUUGUAUUAGAUGAACAUUAAUUGGUUAAUAUCUUCAAGCCAUAUGGUAAUGCAGAUGGGAUGUGGAGAGAGUGACAUGUGGCAUUUUGAUACAAAAUGUAAUAGACAUAUUCUAUUUAAUAAUAUUUACAACAAAAAUCUAUAUUUUCCGAAGAUUUAUUAGAACUUUUUUACAAAAAAAAAAAAAAAUCUCAUGUAAGAUUUUGUUUCCUUUAUAGAAAUGAAUAAUAACAGGUAAGAAAAUAUUAAUAAAAUAAAAGUAUAGAAAUGUUAAAUUACAUCCACAAACUCAUGGAUGAGUAUAUAUGCAAUGGAAUAAAAUUAUACUAACUUUAUUAUUGUGUAAAUCAACCCCUUAAAUGGAUGUGCCAAAAUCAACCAGUUGCUUUAAAUUUUAAAAAAUUGAUAUGCUACAUCACAUUUUUUGUGGUAUAUUAACAAUAACAUUACUUUUGUUCCUUUGACUUUUUCGUUUUUUUUAAUAUUAACUAGUUUGAAUAUUUAUAUUUAUAUUUUUUUAUUUCCAUAAAUAACUAAUUUUUGUAUCAAUGGUCAUAUUUUUUAAGUCAUUUCUCACAUUAAUUAAUAAUGGAAUUACAAAUUAUGGAACUAAUUAAAAGUUGAAAUGUGUUAUAAAUUGAAAUUGAAAACAUAAAUAUAAAUGGUCCAAUCUCGAUGAAUCUCCAUAAUAUAAGAUUAUUACUAUUCUACAAAGUGGUGUAUUUGUUAAUAAGAAAGUUUAAAAUGAGAGAGUGAUAUCAAAUUGUACAAGUCUAAAACACCUAGCAUUAUACAUAUUGAUUACAGUUUCUUUUAGACAAUAAUUCACCCUCCUUAACUGUGGAGGAAUAUUAAAGCUUCUUCCAAGAGAAAUGCAACUAAAAAAGAACCGAUGAAGAAGAUUUAUAUGUGAACUGUGAAGGAAAUGGGAAAUACUUUUAUAUAUGUGAACUGUGAAGGAAAUGGGAAAUACAAAACUUGAGAAGGAAGCAUGUCUCACGUGCCAAACCAUUAUCUUUUCAUUACCAAACACAUGACAUUCUACUUCUUUCAUUAAAUCUAUCUUCCCUUUUUGGUUGUUCAUUUGGAAUUCAAAUUCAAAAACACUUUUCAUUUUUUUUUAAAUGACAUCUAUGAUUUACAUAUAUAACCUAUCAAGCAAGUUUAUUAUCUACCACGCCUUAAGCAACAUUUUGAAUUAUGAACUUAAUUUUGGGGUUUCAUAGCUUUAAUCAUUGCUUCUCCUUUUAACUAAUCUUAUUGGCAAUAACUUUGAUUGCAUAAUAUGGGGGGGGAUGAAGAAGAAUGAAAUUGGGGAAUUGGGGAAAAGGGUUAUAAUGGGAAGUUGGGUAAGAAAGAUAAUAAAUAUGGCAUAUCCACACACAUGAGAAUUUAGGCCCCACAAAGCACAUGGUAUAAUAAAAAUGCUGGCAGAUCACAAACAAUUUGGGAGGCUAUAAUAAUGAGUAUAUAAACAUAACCAACUGUAACCAAAGCUUAAACAUUACCCACUAAGUGAAAAAAAAAAUAAAAAAAAUCAAAAGGCCAAUAAAACUGACAAAAACAAUAACAAACAACAUCACUACUUUCCUUUUUAACUUUUGUAAUCUUCUUUAAGUUGUCUCUCUCAUGGACUCGGAAGGGGAAAAAGAAAAAAGAAAAUACAAAACCCAGAGUAAAAACAUAGUGUAGUGACCAAACAAUAUUGCAUCACAAAAUGACUGUGGUAAGAGAUGGAAAGAUGAGUUAAACUUGAUGGUAAAAUAAACAGACCCAAAAAUAAAAAGAGACAACGCUUCUGCACCUGCCCCUAAAAUGGCAUUUUCUUUUCAGCUGAAGCAGGCCGAGGUUGAGAGCAACCAACAGAUGAACAACAAUGGUGGAAUGAAGGUUUUAAAAACAAGUUUGAAAAAAGAAAAAAUAUGUGUACUUGUUAAAAUGGCUAUUUGAAUGAAGGGACAAAGGAGAUGAUGGAUGAGAAAUGAUGGAAG
rnacentral:lncRNA from 1 species